AGAUGCUAACGUAUCCUUACAUCCCUGGAACACAUCACACCUCAUCACCAGCUUUAACAGCCUGCACCUGGGACUCUGGAGGAUGCCACAAGGCUAUAGGAGAAAUGGGCACCAGAGUGAAAACAGGGAGACAGGAAGCCAGUCAAGAGACCGGUCCCAAGGCACUCUCUAGCUAUAAUUUAGUCCUCAGAGAGGUUCAUAUUGAUGAAUUCCACAGUAUGAAAGGCUCACUAUAGAUAUUAGAUCAAGUUCCAGGCAAGGAAUGCGAGUGGAAGAGAUAUAUGCAUGUUCCAGACCUUCUUAAAAGGGACACUGCUUGUUUGCCAUGGACUUCUCUUACACAGUCUCUCCUAACUUGAGAAUGAUGAAGAGCAGAGCAACAUUGGAAGCCUCAUUUUGGUAACAGGAGUGUCUCCCUAACAGCCUUGAGCUCUCAAUCUUGGAAUUAUUCCAUGGGAGAAAAGUAAAGUAGCUAUUGUAAUUAAGUCACUGUAUUUAUGCGUCUUUCAUUAUAGCAGCUUGAGCCAACUGUAGAGACUGUACCCUCAUAUACUACUUUCCAAAUCCCUGGAAAUAAUACAUUAUAAAAUGGCUACUUUACUGAUUUGUGCCUAAAUCUUCUAAUGCAAGAGAGAGUGAUAUGGUGGGUAAUGGAAUGUGUUACUGAACUAUUAAGUAAAUUACAUAUAUGCUUAGUCUUAAAAGAAGUAUGGAUGUCCUGUAUCACUGAUAAAAUCACUGGUCCUUUUUCUCACCAAUAAUAAAUAACUUUAUUUUUUUAUUUUUAUUUAUUCUUAUUUUUUUGUUGGUAACAGUUUCUCCAAGGAUCUAGGUGAGUGUGGCCUGUGCAGACAUGGAGAGAAAGGGGAUAGAUAAAAUGGGAAC